CCAGCAGCUGCGGUAAUUCCAGCUCCAAUAGCGUAUAUUUAAGUUGUUGCAGUUAAAAAGCUCGUAGUUGGAUUUCGGGCGGGUGACGGCGGUCCGCCUCUGGUGUGCACUGCUGCUCAUCCGCCUUACUGUCGGGGACGGGCUCCUGGGCUUCACUGUCCGGGACCCGGGUUCGACAUGGUUACUUUGAGUAAAUUAGAGUGUUCAAAGCAGGCGUUCGCCCUGAAUACAUUAGCAUGGAAUAGCACGAUAGGACUCUGGCCUAUUCUGCUGGUCUGUAGGACCGGAGUAAUGAUUAAGAGGGACAGUCGGGGGCAUUCGUAUUUCAUUGUCAGAGGUGAAAUUCUUGGAUUUAUGAAAGACGAACUUCUGCGAAAGCAUUUGCCAAGGAUGUUUUCAUUGAUCAAGAACGAAAGU
rnacentral:rRNA from 1 species